UACAGAGGAGCCAAGCGUUGUCCGGAUUGACUGGGCGUAAAGCGCACGCAGGCGGUCGCGCGCGUGGGGUGUGAAAUCUGGCCGCUUAACGGCCAGGCGCCAUCCCAUACGGCACGACUGGAGUGAUGCAGAGGUCGGUGGAAUUGCCGGUGUAGUGGUGAAAUGCGUAGAGAUCGGCAGGAACACCCAAGGGGAAGCCAGCUGGCUGGGCAUUUGCUGACGCUCAUGGUGCGACAGCGUGGGGAGCGGAACUGG
rnacentral:rRNA from 1 species